AAGACUAUACUUUUAGGGAUCAUUUCUAUAGCUUGAAAAUGAGGGUGCAAUUACCCCUACCUUAUAAUGUUAUUGUGAGAAAUG
rnacentral:snoRNA from 1 species